rnacentral:tRNA from 4 species
GGAGAGGUGGCAGAGUGGUCGAAUGCGCCUGACUCGAAAUCAGGUUUGGGGCAACCCAACGGGAGUUCGAAUCUCCCCCUCUCCG